rnacentral:rRNA from 2 species
AACGGAGGGGAUAAGUGUUAUUCAACUUGAUUGGGCGUAAAGGGUACGUAGGCGGUAAUAUAAGUUAAAAGUAAAAGCCUUCAGCUAAACUGAAGAAAUGCUUUUAAUACUGUAAUACUAAGAGUUUGCUAGAAGAAAACAGUAUUCUCAGUGUAAAGGUGAAAUUUGCAAAUAUUGAGAAGACUCACAAUAGGCGAAGGCGGUUUUCUAUAGCGAUACUGACGCUGAGGUACGAAAGCGUGGGGAGCAAACAGG